GCCCUGGUAGCUUAGACCUCAAAGCAUCGGUUUUGUAACUCGAAGACCGAAGGUUAAAUUCCUUCCCAGAGC
rnacentral:tRNA from 1 species